ACACUUCGGCAGCAUACAUACUAAAACUGGAACAAUACAGAGAAGAUUAGCACGGCCCUUGCGCAAGGAUGACACGAAAGUUCAUGAAGUGCUCCAUACUUAA